GGCUCCUAGGCCUGGUGCACAAAGAUUCCCCAAACCCCAAACUGAGCUUCAGUAAAGUAAUGAAAGGCAGCCCAGUCACCAUGCCCAAAGCCCUACCAUCCUUCCCUGGCUG
rnacentral:lncRNA from 1 species